ensembl:snRNA U6 U6 spliceosomal RNA
GUGCUUGCUUUGGCAGCACAUAUACUAAAAUUGGAACGAUACAGAGAAGAUUAACAUGGCCCUUGUGCAAGGAUGACAUGCAAAUUUGUGAAGCAUUCCAUAUUUUU